CUCAGAGAAGAAGUUCUGACGGUACUUGAGGAAUCAGCAUCGGCUAACUCCGUGCCAGCAGCCGCGGUAAUACGGAGGAUGCAAGCGUUAUCCGGAAUUAUUGGGCGUAAAGCGUUCGUAGGUGGUUUAAUAAGUCUUCUGUCAAAGCCCGGGGCUUAACCCUGGUUAGGCGGUGGAAACUAAGAAGCUAGAGUACGGUAGGGGCAGAGGGAAUUCCCAGUGUAGCGGUGAAAUGCGCAGAGAUCGGGAAGAACACCAGUGGCGAAGGCACUCUACUGGGCCGAAACUGACACUCAGGGACGAAAGCUAGGGGAGCGAAAGGGAUUAGAUACCCCUGUAGUCA
rnacentral:rRNA from 1 species